AUUGAACGCUGGCGGAAUGCUUUACACAUGCAAGUCGAACGGCAGCACGGACUUCGGUCUGGUGGCGAGUGGCGAACGGGUGAGUAAUGUAUCGGAACGUGCCCAGUCGUGGGGGAUAACGUAGUGAAAAUUACGCUAAUACCGCAUACGAUCUAUGGAUGAAAGCGGGGGAUCGCAAGACCUCGCGCGAUUGGAGCGGCCGAUAUCAGAUUAGGUAGUUGGUGGGGUAAAGGCCCACCAAGCCAACGAUCUGUAGCUGGCCUGAGAGGACGACCAGCCACACUGGAACUGAGACACGGUCCAGACUCCUCCGGGAGGCAGCAGUGGGGAAUUUUGGACAAUGGGCGAAAGCCUGAUCCAGCCAUUCCGCGUGCAGGAUGAAGGCCCUCGGGUUGUAAACUGCUUUUGUACAGAACGAAAAGGUUUCUACUAAUACUAGGAGCUCAUGACGGUACUGUAAGAAUAAGCACCGGCUAACUACGUGCCAGCCGCCGCAGUAA
rnacentral:rRNA from 1 species